UUNUAAGGGCCCCCUGAAAAGGGNNNNNCUCUAUUCAUCAACCCAUUGCAUGUCUCAGAAUGUAAACAUAUGUCCUCNCCUUAAAAAGCGUUGAUAAACUUAUACAACUUUCAACAACGGAUCUCUUGGCUCUCGCAUCGAUGAAGAACGCAGCGAAAUGCGAUAAGUAAUGUGAAUUGCAGAUUUUCAGUGAAUCAUCGAAUCUUUGAACGCACCUUGCGCUCCUUGGUAUUCCGAGGAGCAUGCCUGUUUGAGUGUCAUUAAAUUCUCAACUCCGAUCGAUUUGUUUCGACCUCGGAGCUUGGACUUUGGAGUGUGCUGGCGUCGGUCGGCUCCUCUCAAAUGCAUNAGCGGAAUCUAACGUUUCGGAUGUCAGUGUGAUAAUCACGUUGCGCUGUCAACCGAUCCUGAAAGGCCCGCUCAUAAUGGUCUUCGGACAACUUCAUAUCAAAUUUGACCUCAAAUCAGGUAGGACUACCCGCUGAACUUAAGCAUAUCAAUAAGCGGAGGAAAAGAAACUAACAAGGAUUCCCCUAGUAACUGCGAGUGAAGCGGGAAAAGCUCAAAUUUAAAAUCUGGCGGUCUUGCGGCCGUCCGAGUUGUAAUCUGGGAGAAGCGUCUAUCCGCGCCCGGACCGUGUACA
rnacentral:rRNA from 1 species